CUCGCAACACAGUCUUCACCAGUGAACUGAUACUGAUCCGAUUCCGUGUCGUUAAAAAACGGAUUUUUUGAGGGCCGUAGAACGGAUUGGUUUCCGUUCUCUUACGCUAGAGUCGCAUGAAGGCAAUAACGUUAUGCCUACCCUCUAGCGCCUCUAGCUGAUUCAUAAUCGGAUUCGUUUCAGUUAACCGAUUUUGACUGUGUUGUCUCUUCAUUGACAGUUGGUGUUUACAAACCCAGAAUGAAUGACAACAAUCUUUUUAAAUUGCUAGCUACUGAACGAGUAGAAGUGAAUAAAAGUGCUAGUGAAAAGGACAAUUGUAAAGAAUAAAAGCCAUUUAUAAGUUAUAACUCCUGUUUUCUCGACUAGUGUGUGGUUUAAGAGUAGCUGUCACCAAUAAUUAGUCAAAGGAAACAGUAUAUGAUGUGCAUUAGUAGCCUAUGAUGUGAAACAGACAGUUUGCAGGACAAAAUUGGAGAGCUGGAGCAACAAGAAGUAAAUCAAAACAGCACAAAAAAGCAGUCUAAGAAAAAAGACGCAGUAGGAGGCUAUAAGCUCUCACCGGUUAAGCUCUCCUAUAGAACAUGAUUGGAUUGAUUGGCCAUUUAAAUGCUGUUUAAAAUCAAUCACUCUUUAUCAAUGAGAAUGGAUAUUCUACUACGGAUACAUGGUUGCUGGUUUAUAUGUGUGGAUUGAUUUAACACCAAUAUUGAGCUAGUUACGUGACGCUGACGGCAAAGUCUUCGUUUUCAUUACAACACUACAUGAUUGCUGGGCAGGUGAAGGCUUACCAAGCUGUUUUUAGUUCCGUCUUAUGGAAUCCUGAAGAAACUUCGAAAGUUGCGUCUACUAGAUGGGAUUGAUUAAUUAAUUUCUUAGACUAGAAGUACGUGUCAUAACUGUCAUUCUGUGUUGUUCAGUUAACAAGGCUUGUCGCUCGAUUUCACGCGAAUAAUUCAUGAGAAAUACAAAUUUCGUAACACACAAA
rnacentral:lncRNA from 1 species